rnacentral:rRNA from 1 species
AUUACCGAGUUAGGGUCUCACCGGCCCGAUCUCCCAACCCUUUGUCUACUUGACCAUCGUUGCUUCGGCGAGCCCGUCCUCACGGACCGCCGGGGGGUCUUUGUACCCCUUGGCCCGCGCUCGUCGACAGCCCCCAAAUUUAAAAAAUCUUAACUAAACGUGUCUUGAAUCUAAGUAUUAUUGUUAAAUAAAAACAAAACUUUCAACAACGGAUCUCUUGGUUCUGGCAUCGAUGAAGAACGCAGCGAAAUGCGAUAAGUAAUGCGAAUUGCAGAAUUCCAGUGAGUCAUCGAAUCUUUGAACGCACAUUGCGCCCUUUGGUAUUCCGAAGGGCAUGCCUGUUCGAGCGUCAUUAUCACCCCUCAAGCCCUCGGCUUGGUGUUGGACGGCUUGGUGGAGACCCCCUUUGCGGGCUUCUACCCCUCCCAAAGACAAUGACGGCGGCCUCGUUGGACCCCCGGUACACUGAGUUCUUCACGGGACACGUAUCGGACACAUGGGUUCACGGGACACGGUCUGCCUCCCCUCAGGGAGAAUCUUUUUUUAUCAAGGUUGACCUCGGAUCAGGUAGGGAUACCCGCUGAACU